rnacentral:rRNA from 1 species
UGAACGCUGGCGGCGUGCCUAACACAUGCAAGUCGAACGAAGCAUCGCGCCCGACAAAGAGGAGUGCUUGCACAAAUCGGAGUCAAUUGUGAUGACUUAGUGGCGGACGGGUGAGUAACGCGUGGGUAACCUGCCCUAUACAGGGGGAUAACAGUUAGAAAUGACUGCUAAUACCGCAUAAGCGCACAGUAUCGCAUGAUACAGUGUGAAAAGCCGAGACGGUAUAGGAUGGACCCGCGUCUGAUUAGCCAGUUGGCAGGGUAACGGCCUACCAAAGCGACGAUCAGUAGCCGGCCUGAGAGGGUGAACGGCCACAUUGGGACUGAGACACGGCCCAAACUCCUACGGGAGGCAGCAGGUGGGGGAUAUUGCACAAUGGGGGAAACCCUGAUGCAAGCGACGCCGCGUGAGCGAAGAAGUAUUUCGGUAUGUAAAGCUCUAUCAGCAGGGAAGAAAAUGACGGUACCUGACUAAGAAGCUCCGGCUAAAUACGUGCCAGCCGCGGC